AGCGAACGCUGGCGGCAGGCCUAACACAUGCAAGUCGAGCGGCCGUAGCAAUACGGCAGCGGCAGACGGGAGAGUAACACGUGGGAACGCGCCCUUCGGUUCGGGAUAACUCAGGGAAACUUGGGCUAAUACCGGAUACGCCCUUAUGGGGAAAGAUUUAUUGCCGAAGGAACGGCCCGCGUCCGAUUAGCUUGUUGGUGAGGUAACGGCUCACCAAGGCGACGAUCGGUAGCUGGUCUGAGAGGAUGACCAGCCUCACUGGGACUGAGACACGGCCCAGACUCCUACGGGAGGCAGCAGUGGGGAAUAUUGGACAAUGGGCGCAAGCCUGAUCCAGCCAUGCCGCGUGGGUGAUGAAGGCCCUAGGGUUGUAAAGCCCUUUCAGCGGGGAAGAUAAUGACGGUACCCGCAGAAGAAGCCCCGGCUAACUUCGUGCCAGCCGCCGCCGUAACAC
rnacentral:rRNA from 1 species